ACUUGUGCGCUCUCUCUCUCUUUCUCUCUCUCUCUCUGUCAAAUAAAUAAAAUCUUUUUUUUAAAUAAAGUAAAAGAUAAAUGUAUGGCUUACCUCACGGAUCUCUGGUUGGCUCAGCAUUUGAAAAUCAAUCCACAUAAGCAGUCCAGAGCCACCUGGAUAAUACAGCUAAAAUUAAUGGAAUAGGACCAUGGUUCUAUUUGUCGAUCUAUGGAACUGAGGCCCUGAUUAAGAGGGACAGUCAGGGCCAUUCACAAUCCACUACUGGGGUUGAAAUUCUUGGACCAGUGCAAGAUGGACCAGAGAAAAAACAUUUGUCAAGACUGUUUUAAUUAAUCAAGAAUGAAAGAGUUUUGAGGACAAUGAGAUACCAUGAUAAUUCUGACCAUAAAAUGAUGGUGACUAGUGAUACAGUGGCAUUAUUUCCGGGAUCCUCUGGAAUGGUUCUGGGAAGCCAAAGUCUUUGGAUU
rnacentral:ncRNA from 1 species